rnacentral:rRNA from 1 species
GAUGAACGCUGGCGGCGUGCCUAAUACAUGCAAGUCGAGCGAACGGACGAGAAGCUUGCUUCUCUGAUGUUAGCGGCGGACGGGUGAGUAACACGUGGAUAACCUACCUAUAAGACUGGGAUAACUUCGGGAAACCGUAGCUAAUACCGGAUAAUAUUUUGAACCGCAUGGUUCAAAAGUGAAAGACGGUCUUGCUGUCACUUAUAGAUGGAUCCGCGCUGCAUUAGCUAGUUGGUAAGGUAACGGCUUACCAAGGCAACGAUGCAUAGCCGACCUGAGAGGGUGAUCGGCCACACUGGAACUGAGACACGGUCCAGACUCCUACGGGAGGCAGCAGUAGGGAAUCUUCCGCAAUGGGCGAAAGCCUGACGGAGCAACGCCGCGUGAGUGAUGAAGGUCUUCGGAUCGUAAAACUCUGUUAUUAGGGAAGAACAUAUGUGUAAGUAACUGUGCACAUCUUGACGGUACCUAAUCAGAAAGCCACGGCUAACUACGUGCCAGCAGCCGCGGUAAUACGUAGGUGGCAAGCGUUAUCCGGAAUUAUUGGGCGUAAAGCGCGCGUAGGCGGUUUUUUAAGUCUGAUGUGAAAGCCCACGGCUCAACCGUGGAGGGUCAUUGGAAACUGGAAAACUUGAGUGCAGAAGAGGAAAGUGGAAUUCCAUGUGUAGCGGUGAAAUGCGCAGAGAUAUGGAGGAACACCAGUGGCGAAGGCGACUUUCUGGUCUGUAACUGACGCUGAUGUGCGAAAGCGUGGGGAUCAAACAGGAUUAGAUACCCUGGUAGUCCACGCCGUAAACGAUGAGUGCUAAGUGUUAGGGGGUUUCCGCCCCUUAGUGCUGCAGCUAACGCAUUAAGCACUCCGCCUGGGGAGUACGACCGCAAGGUUGAAACUCAAAGGAAUUGACGGGGACCCGCACAAGCGGUGGAGCAUGUGGUUUAAUUCGAAGCAACGCGAAGAACCUUACCAAAUCUUGACAUCCUUUGACAACUCUAGAGAUAGAGCCUUCCCCUUCGGGGGACAAAGUGACAGGUGGUGCAUGGUUGUCGUCAGCUCGUGUCGUGAGAUGUUGGGUUAAGUCCCGCAACGAGCGCAACCCUUAAGCUUAGUUGUCAUCAUUAAGUUGGGCACUCUAAGUUGACUGCCGGUGACAAACCGGAGGAAGGUGGGGAUGACGUCAAAUCAUCAUGCCCCUUAUGAUUUGGGCUACACACGUGCUACAAUGGACAAUACAAAGGGCAGCGAAACCGCGAGGUCAAGCAAAUCCCAUAAAGUUGUUCUCAGUUCGGAUUGUAGUCUGCAACUCGACUACAUGAAGCUGGAAUCGCUAGUAAUCGUAGAUCAGCAUGCUACGGUGAAUACGUUCCCGGGUCU